GAAGUGCGAUAAGCAAUGCGAAUUGAAGAACCGUGAGUCAUCAGAUUUUUGAACGCAACUGGCGCCGGUUGGCUCUCCAACCGGCAUGCUUGUUUCAGUGUCUCUUUAUCUCAUCACCCAUAUCAUAAUGCGAGAGAUACCCUUCUCUUGCUAAGCUCGAAAGCACUCUGCGCUCUGCGAGCGGCUUCGACUUGUUCGAGGGUCGCACUCAAUGCAGCCGUCACAUUGCUCACAAUGUGAACUCAUUGAGAGCUGAGGCAGUGUAGCGUAAGCUACCAGUGCUUAGUCACACAAACUUUACUUGCAUCUGAAAUCAAGCAGGAUCACCCGCUGAACUUAAGC
rnacentral:misc_RNA from 1 species